rnacentral:tRNA from 1 species
GUCUUCGUGGUGUAGUGGUCAGCACGCUCGACGCGUAACCGAGAGGUCCGUGGUUCGAUUCCCGGCGAAGGCA